UACAGAGGGGGCAAGCGUUAUUCGGAAUUAUUGGGCGUAAAGGGCGCGUAGGCGGCGAUUCAAGUGACGGGUGAAAUCCCUCGGCUUAACCGAGGAACUGCCUGUCAGACUGGGUUGCUUGAGACCGGGAGAGGCGAGUGGAAUUCCCAGUGUAGCGGUGAAAUGCGUAGAUAUUGGGAGGAACACCAGUGGCGAAGGCGGCUACCUGGACCGGUUCUGACGCUGAGGCGCGAAAGCGUGGGUAGCAAACAGG
rnacentral:rRNA from 1 species